UUUCCCUGCAGAGACAGCGACACGGAGGCACCACAGGCGCACACACACACACAGAGGACAGAGACAGAGAGCCAGACAGGUGGAUUAACUGGUGCACGAGCCUCGGAGGCCACACAAUAGCUCACGGACCCCUCUGACCUCUGCACGGGGGCACCUUAACCACAGACAGGAUGGGAAUGUGCACUGUUCCUCAAUGCUGGUCAGUUGGGAAUGGAUCAUGGUGCCAGGAAACUGCAGCCAGCUCAGCCUGAGGCCCUGGCGUAGCUGAGCGAAGCAGUUGAAGGUGGUUGAAAAUGCUAUUAGCAGGCAGCCUUUGUCCAAGUGAAAAAAUAUACGGUGAUUAAGAACUGAGCUGCCGAAGGUACAUUCCGGAGACACCAAAGCUUUGCCUUCAAACAAAGGGCUUUUCACCUUCGAGACAUUUGGCUAAGUUUCAUCCACUAGAAUCUGGGAUCCUUCAAUUUCAUGGACCGCUCAGUGCUGGGUUCACAAACGCCUACACGUUCAAUUCCCACCCUCUACCCUGACGAAUCAUUUCAGCUCUGCAGCCCUCUUGAUGGCUAGAAGCCUGGAAGAAGGUGGUCAUGGAAUCCUUUGUUUCUAACAGGAGAUGCACAAAAGGAAUCGCUCCCUUUUGUUCAGUGCUUCAGGAAAAAAAAAAUCAACAUGCUGCUUGACAUGCUGAGGCUCUGUGCAUCGUACUUCCAGAUCUUAAAUCAACAAAGCAUGCACCACCCGGGUUACCAAGAGCUUUUGCCACUUACUUACCUGGGAGACUGAUGCUAACCUCUUUGGCUGGGAGAAGGGCUGUGGCUCAGAGAGGAGCCCUGGGAGUCAGAUGGCAUGUGGGGGCAGCGGAGCCAAGCACUAGUGGCUCCAGCAGAACCUUUUUCAACACUAGGAAAGUAAAGACACCUGAGCUGCAGCUGAGACUUUUUUCUUGCUGAUUUGCCCAGAUGACCUAAGACCAGCGUUACAGAUCUUAAGUCCACUCUAAAAAUCCAUGCUACCAGGGGGACAGAAAUCAACCGUGGCUGCCUCUAGGAGAGAGGGAUGGAAUUGACUGGAAAGGGGCGUGAAGAACUUUCUAGGGUGAUGGGGUAUAGGUUACAUUGAUACAGACAUUUGUCAAACUCAUUGAACCAUGCAUUUCAGAUCUAUUCAUUUUGCCAUGUGCAAUUAUGCCUCAAAAGAAAAGAAAAACGAUUAAAAAAAAAUUCCAGCUAUCACAUCUCUGCUUUGAAAUUUCCUACCCCUUACUCUUUUUCAAUUGCUGCCCCAGAAAAUAUGCCUUUUGGCUAAAUUCAGAGCUUCCCCUUCCAGGAGAGGGGAAGUCCAGAGUCCUUUGUUAGGGGAACUAGAACUUGCAAUAGAAGGAAUUUGGAACAUGAUUUCUAGGCUCCAUCGAUCCAAACUGAUCACCUUGUGGUGACACACAGGCAUUUUUCAUCCCUGCUAAUGAAAAAUGGUGUUUUGCUGAAGAGGGCUGACCAGGUGACCUCCUCAGGCAGGAAGUGGGAGGCCCCGGAGAUAAGCUGUCCUCUCAAGGAGACGGAAAGUUACCCGUGAAUAGACGAUGCUCGGGUUCAUGAAGGAUGAGCCUAUGUGGACUCAGGCCUGUAGGGGACUUGCUGGGGAGAGCGGCCAGCCCCUGGCUGAGAGCCAGGUGGAAGGGAACGGGCCUGGCCUGGGUUUGUCAGGAGGAGGAGGAGCCAAGGAGCUGCCUAACUUUAGGGGGUGACUUCCCUGGAGGCUGGGGCCCCUGCUGCUCCUUCCCCACUGGGCAAAGCCACAGGAAGGUUUUCCAAAGGGAAUCGUGUAAAGAAUUCUUCGGCCUCUCCUUUCCCAACGAUGUUUAAAACUGGGGAGAGAGUGCCAUUUGCUUGGGGCAGUUUAGAGGGCUGAGAAACUCUGGCAGGGGAUGGUAGGAAAACCCACACUUCAUAUAGAAUAAUUUGAAGACACUUCAACUUUCCUCUUUCAUCAUCACCAAGAUGGGCAGAUGAAAUGGGGACUAGCCAAUGGUUACCCACGGCUAAUCCCACGGCAGAGUUAGGCCGGAGCAGCAUCGGGGGAAGAGAGGCUGCUUCUGGCUUUCUCACGCCUCGGUGGUGGGGGUGGGGCAGAAGGCCUGUGACAAGAUCCAUUCCUGGGGUCUGUAUGACUCCUGGGUCCUUGCCAAGCUUUCUGAUCUCUCUCAGGAGCUGAAGGGCAUUUCAUUUGGUUUUCAAAUAUUCUCUGUAGUUGACUUUUAAAAAACAGGAUACCACAAACAUAAAACAACACCCCCCCCCCAAAUCCAGAGAGAGGUGGAAGUUGAAUUAAUGUGUUUUAAAAAAGCCCAUUGGAUGAAGAAUUACUAUAAGAUAAACAUAUUUAAAAAGUAAGGCACAUGGUUGAAAUAAAAACAAUGGAGUCCUUUGCAACAGCCCAUUGUCUUCUGUGCAGUCAUACAAACCAUCAGGUUUUGUCACGUCAAAGGUGGGUCUGUGGACUCUGCCAGCAGUCGCUGUCUGCAGAGAGCAAUUUCCACAAAAUGUCACUGGGGAGUUCCCGCUGUGGCUCAGCAGAAACGAACCCGACUAGCAUCCAUGAGAAUGCAGGUUCGAUCCCUGGCCCUGCUCAGUGGGUUAAGGAUCUGGAGUUGCCAUAAGCUUUGGCGUAGUUCUCAGACAAGGCUGGGAUCCUGCGUUGCUAUGGCUGUGAUGCAGGCUGGCAGCUGUAGCUCUGAUUUGACCCCUAGCCGGGGAACUUCCAUAUGCUGUGGGUGCCGCCCUAAAAAGACAAAAAAAAAAAAAAAAAAAAAA